CGCACAUUGCGCCCGCCAGUAUUCUGGCGGGCAUGCCUGUCCGAGCGUCAUUUCAACCCUCAAGCCCUGCUUGGUGUUGGGGUCCUACGGCUCUCGUCGUAGGCCCUGAAAGCUAGUGGCGGGCUCGCUACAACUCCGAGCGCAGUAGUGUAUCUCGCUGCGGAGGCUCGUGGCGGGCUCCAGCCGUUAACCCCCCCCCCCAAUUUUACAAGGUUGACCUCGGAUCAGGUAGGAAUACCCGCUGAACUUAA
rnacentral:misc_RNA from 1 species